UUUUUUUGUUUUGGCAAGAGCAUGAGAGCUUUUACUGGGCAAGAAGACAAGAGAUGGAGAGUCCAGCCGGGCCUGCGCUUAAGUGCGCGGUCUUGCUAGGCUUGUAAGUUUCUUUCUUGCUAUUCCAAACGGUGAGAGAUUUCUGUGCUUUUGUUAUAGGACAAUUAAAACCGUUUCAAUACAACACACUGUGGAGUUUUCAUAUCUUUGCAACUUUUUCUUUGGGCAUUCGAGCAAUCGGGGCCCAGAGGUAACAAACACAAACAAUUUUAUUUAUUCAUUAAAUUUUUGUCAAAAACAAGAAUUUUCGUAACUGGAAAUUUUAAAAUAUUAAAAACUUUCAACAACGGAUCUCUUGGUUCUCGCAUCGAUGAAGAACGCAGCGAAAUGCGAUACGUAAUGUGAAUUGCAGAAUUCCGUGAAUCAUCGAAUCUUUGAACGCACAUUGCGCCCCUUGGUAUUCCAGGGGGCAUGCCUGUUUGAGCGUCAUUUCCUUCUCAAACAUUCUGUUUGGUAGUGAGUGAUACUCUUUGGAGUUAACUUGAAAUUGCUGGCCUUUUCAUUGGAUGUUUUUUUUYCCAAAGAGAGGUUUCUCUGCGUGCUUGAGGUAUAAUGCAAGUACGGUCGUUUUAGGUUUUACCAACUGCGGCUAAUCUUUUUUAUACUGAGCGUAUUGGAACGUUAUCGAUAAGAAGAGAGCGUCUAGGCGAACAAUGUUCUUAAAGUUGACCUCAAAUCAGGAGGAA
rnacentral:rRNA from 1 species